UACGUAGGGGGCUAGCGUUGUCCGGAAUCAUUGGGCGUAAAGCGCGUGUAGGCGGUCCGGUAAGUCCGCUGUGAAAGUCGAGGGCUCAACCCUCGAAUGCCGGUGGAUACUGUCGGGCUAGAGUACGGAAGAGGCGAGUGGAAUUCCUGGUGUAGCGGUGGAAUGCGCAGAUAUCAGGAGGAACACCAAUAGCGAAGGCAGCUCGCUGGGACGUUACUGACACUAAGGCGCGAAAGCGUGGGGAGCGAACAGG
rnacentral:rRNA from 1 species